AUUGAACGCUGGCGGCAGGCCUAACACAUGCAAGUCGAGCGGAUGAAGGGAGCUUGCUCCUGGAUUCAGCGGCGGACGGGUGAGUAAUGCCUAGGAAUCUGCCUGGUAGUGGGGGAUAACGUCCGGAAACGGGCACUAAUACCGCAUACGUCCUGAGGGAGAAAGUGGGGGUUCUUCGGACCUCACGCUAUCAGAUGAGCCUAGGUCGGAUUAGCUAGUUGGUGGGGUAAAGGCCUACCAAGGCGACGAUCCGUAACUGGUCUGAGAGGAUGAUCAGUCACACUGGAACUGGAACACGGUCCAGACUCCUACGGGAGGCAGCAGUGGGGAAUAUUGGACAAUGGGCGAAAGCCUGAUCCAGCCAUGCCGCGUGGGUGAAGAAGGUCUUCGGAUUGUAAAGCACUUUAAGUUGGGAGGAAGGGCAGUAAGUUAAUACCUUGCUGUUUUGACGUUACCAACAGAAUAAGCACCGGCUAACUUCGUG
rnacentral:rRNA from 1 species